UAAUUGAUCAUUUUAAAUAACAACCCAACUUGAAAUUAGAUCGAAAAAUAUUUUUGUUAGCUCAUAUUUCCUUUUCUUUUUAGACAUCUGAAUUUAUCCUAGUACUUACAGACCUUCAUCAAAGAAUUAGAAAAUCAAAAUCUCUUCGCAGUACUAAUAAUUGUGUAUAUUAAUAUUUCCAGCUAACUUAUUGUUCUUGGAAUCCCCUGUUGGUGUUGGAUUUUCAUACACAAAUACCUCUAGUGAUAUCACAGAGCUUGGAUACACUGUUACGGAUUUCAGAAAGAGGUUGAGGGCGGAUAUAACUUUGAGGAGGAAAAGGAAGAGGAGAAAGGGGCUGAAGUUAUUUAAAAAGUGGGUGCAAGUUAAAAGUUUUAAAAAAAUGGGUAUAGGUUAAAUGGGGCGACCAAAUAGGGCGCCCCAUUUAACCUACGUGCAAUUUUUACCGCUUUCCUCUUUUUUGUUUGAUCUCAAGUUUCUCUUUUCCUCUUUGACGAUUUCUCAAGUUCUUUGCUUUCAGUUUGUCGUCUGAUAUAUAGUAAAGAGAUCACCUGGUUGACCAUUGAUGGUGUAAGCAUCAGAUACAUAGGAGCUAAAAAUUUGCCAGCUGAACCUUCUGAGGAAGAAUUCAGGCUUGGUUUAAGGAGUGGAAUGAUCUUUUACAAUGUACUCAAUAAAAUUCAUUCUGGAGUUGUUCCCAAGGAAAGAGUGGAUGAGGAUUUAUUUCAGUGUUCAGAGAUCUUGGAUAUGCUGAGUUGAUUGUAACAAUUGUCCCAUUUUCUCUUUAUUUAUAUGUUUCUGUACCUCCUUGGUACUAUCUUAUAAGAAAUUCAAGCAAUAAUACUCUUGAUUGGGUAAGAUGCAAUAUUGUUAAUUCCUGAAUGCAGGGAGAGGUUUAAAUACUACACUACUGAGAGAGUGUUAUAUGCUCUUUGUUAUUCUUCAUGCAUCACUUUAGUA